rnacentral:rRNA from 1 species
CACCAGGUCGAGUUGUAAUUUGUAGAUUGUAUCUUGAGAGCGGAUUAAAGUCUGUUGGAACACAGCGCCUUAGAGGGUGACAGCCCCGUAAAAUCUAUUCUCAUUGUAAGAUACUUUCGAAGAGUCGAGUUGUUUGGGAAUGCAGCUCUAAGUGGGAGGUAAAUUCCUUCUAAAGCUAAAUAUUGACGAGAGACCGAUAGCGAACAAGUACUGUGAAGGAAAGAUGAAAAGCACUUUGAAAAGAGAGUGAAAAAGUACGUGAAAUUGUUAAAAGGGAAGGGUAUUGAAUCAGACUUGGUGCUGUUGUUCAACUGUGUUUUGGCACAGUGUACUCAGCAGUACUAGGCCAAGGUGGGGUGUUUGGGAGUGAAAAAGAAGUUGGAACGUAACUCUUCGGAGUGUUAUAGCCUACUUUCAUAGCUCCUCAGGCGCCUCAGGACUGCGCUUCGGCAAGGACCUUGGCAUAAUGAUUCUAUAC